UACGUAGGGGGCUAGCGUUGUCCGGAAUCAUUGGGCGUAAAGGGCGCGUAGGCGGGAUGGCAAGUCAGUCGUGAAAUCUCUCGGCUCAACCGAGAAACGUCGGCUGAUACUGCCGUUCUUGAGGGAUGCAGAGGAGACUGGAAUUCCCGGUGUAGCGGUGAAAUGUGUAGAGAUCGGGAGGAACACCGGUGGCGAAGGCGGGUCUCUGGGCAUUUCCUGACGCUGAGGCGCGAAAGCGUGGGGAGCAAACGGG
rnacentral:rRNA from 1 species